rnacentral:rRNA from 1 species
CCCUUAGAUGUUCUGGGCCACACGCGCGUUACACUGAUGAAGCCAGCGAGUAUAUCGCUUUCACCGGAAGGUGCGGGUAAUCUUGUGAAACUUCAUCGUGCUGGGGAUAGACCAUUGCAAUUAUUGGUCUUGAACGAGGAAUUCCUAGUAAGCAUGAGUCAUCAACUCGUGCUGAUUACGUCCCUGCCCUUUGUACACACCGCCCGUCGCUACUACCGAUUGAAUGGUUUGGUGAGAUCUCGGGAUUGGAGACGUUGCGCCGCAAGGCACAUCGUCCUCGAGAACUUGAUCAAACUUGAUCAUUUAGAGGAAGUAAAAGUCGUAACA